UUCCUACGGGACGCAGCAGGGAAUCUUCCACAAUGGGCGAAAGCCUGAUGGAGCAACGCCGCGUGGGUGAAGAAGGUCUUCGGAUCGUAAAACCCUGUUGUUAGAGAAGAAAGUGCGUGAGAGUAACUGUUCACGUUUCGACGGUAUCUAACCAGAAAGCCACGGCUAACUACGUGCCAGCAGCCGCGGUAAUACGUAGGUGGCAAGCGUUAUCCGGAUUUAUUGGGCGUAAAGAGAACGCAGGCGGUCUUUUAAGUCUGAUGUGAAAGCCUUCGGCUUAACCGGAGUAGUGCAUUGGAAACUGG
rnacentral:rRNA from 1 species